rnacentral:misc_RNA from 1 species
GCAAUCUCCCGUUGACCCAAGCCGUAUGUCCUUCUAUCUGAACAGAUAUAUCUGUGUACCUAUCUCUCUGUUUCGUCCCCACUCCAUCAACAAACAGCGCGCACAGCGGAUCAUUCACGAAGUAAUCACGUGUGUCCUGUGUCUAGUAUGAUGUUCUUCUCGUUGUAACUCAUAGUUUCCGCGUUUCACGUUUUCGACGUGAUCCUUCCCUUCCCAGGAUCGCGGCCAAGUGCGAACUUUUCAAAAUUCAACGAACCUUUGUGCCUUAUCUCUCAUCCUUCGAUCACCUCGGCUCUUUCUUUCUAUUCUUUCCUUCUUCCUUUUGCCAAACGUGAUUUCGCGUUUUCAACGGGUCUGGAAUCUUGAUUUACCAGAUAUACUUCUUCAAUUUCGUGGCUUUUUUACUUUUCUUUUUUCAACCCACAUUUCGUGCCGUGCAUCGGAGCACAGCCCAUUGGUGCAAUACAAAUACAGGUGUUACUCGCAAGAAACAGCUCGUGCAUCUUUUAAUACUCAUAAAACUGCGUCUACCAUUGUGACUCGGAGGAAGUGGUCAGACAUAAAGAACACUGUCGAACAGUCGAACACACGUGUAAGAACACGGUGUAAAGUGUGAGGAUUGGACGUGACAUGUUACCAUAGGAACGACGAGUUUAAGAACUAGAAAGUGAAAAUUAAUAUAAAGUUAGUCAAUGGCUUAAAGCUGACUUCCAAUACAAAGAAAAAUUUUAUAACAUUUACGACGACCUUGAGAUCGCUGUGAUUUCGUUAUGGGAUGUUACGGUAAAUGAGAAAAGUGCAAGGCA